rnacentral:rRNA from 1 species
UUUGAAAUCUGGUACCUUCGGUGCCCGAGUUGUAAUUUGUAGAGGGCGACUUUGGGGCGGCUCCUUGUCUAUGUUCCUUGGAACAGGACGUCAUAGAGGGUGAGAAUCCCGUGUGGCGAGGAGUGCGGUUCCGUGUAAAGCGCUCUCGAAGAGUCGAGUUGUUUGGGAAUGCAGCUCUAAGUGGGUGGUAAAUUCCAUCUAAAGCUAAAUAUUGGCGAGAGACCGAUAGCGAACAAGUACAGUGAUGGAAAGAUGAAAAGAACUUUGAAAAGAGAGUGAAAAAGUACGUGAAAUUGUUGAAAGGGAAGGGCAUUUGAUCAGACAUGGUGUUUUGCGCCCCCCGCUCCUUGUGGGUGGGGGACUCUCGCAGCUCACUGGGCCAGCAUCAGUUUUGGCGGCCGGACAAAACUGCAGGAACGUAUCUUGCUUCGGGAAGUGUUACAGCCUGCAGGAAUACGGCCAGCCGGGACUGAGGAAUGCGAUUCGUCAAGGAUGCUGGCAUAAU